GACGAAGGGGGCUAGCGUUGCUCGGAAUCACUGGGCGUAAAGGGUGCGUAGGCGGGUCUUUAAGUCAGGGGUGAAAUCCUGGAGCUCAACUCCAGAACUGCCUUUGAUACUGAAGAUCUUGAGUUCGGGAGAGGUGAGUGGAACUGCGAGUGUAGAGGUGAAAUUCGUAGAUAUUCGCAAGAACACCAGUGGCGAAGGCGGCUCACUGGCCCGAUACUGACGCUGAGACACGAAAGCCAGGGGAGCGAACGGG
rnacentral:rRNA from 1 species